AUCUUUAUGGCUUCCCUUAAACAUUUCCUUUAAGAACCGAGGGACCCAGAGACCUAUACCUUCUCAAGAGAACUGUAAUUCUGAGCUUGUUCCUUUACUCUCAUCUUUCACAUUCUAUCUUUAAAUCAGAUAAGAAAGAACCUUCUUCUUUCCAGCAGUCUCCCCAGCCAUGAUAAAUGUCCUCUGAUCUUGACUUCCUCUUCUUCCCUUUAUUCCUUCCUCUUUUUCCCUUUCCCUUUCCCUUACACUUGCCCUACUCUUACCCUUUCCGUUUUUCUCUCCUUUUCCUUUUCCCUUCUUUAAUACUCAGGAUAAAAAAAGACAUUAUCUCUUUACAGGCUGUGUAGAACUUUCUCGGACUACUCUCUGAAAAGGAUUUUCUGACUCCCUGGGUGAUGAAUACCGAAUAACCAUAAUAUUAUGCUGUAAAUACAGCACUGCUUUCUUGCGUGCAGCCUCCACUACACUUACAGCUCCUGAUGGAAGAAGUAAAAGAGGCUGACUGACUAAGCUAGACGAACUUGUGGUCUUCCUCUUCUUGAAUGGCCUUAACAGAAGUGUAAUUCCUUCUGCAGAUCCAUCCUUUACCUCUCUUUUCUGCACGUCGAAGAGGUGAACAUGAAGUGGAAAAUCAGGUCCCAAGUCUGGCAAGAAUUCACUUGCUAACAAGAAGAAUGUGCUUCGUUAAAUCACAAGGAACAUAACUUGUAAAUAAUUGACCUGAGAGGAGUUGGUGAGAGAGAUGUAUAGCAUUACACUUAGAUCCUUCUGUGACAUUUUUUUUAAUUUGGAUCUUUGUGCUUCUGUUCUUUCUUUGUGAGCCGAAUAAACGUCAAUAUCAAGAGCUUUCCAAGCUCAAGACAAUGCAUUCUCCAUCUUACCUAAACAAAACAAUAGAAGACAAAAGGAGAAGGAAAGCAAAGUUAUUAAAACUGGAACCUAUAAAUCUUUAAACAACUCUGAUAGAAAGAAUAAGCCAACAACUUUGUCAUAAACCACUAGCAUAAGGUUUGGCAUUUACAAGCUACUGCUCUUGUUGCUAGCACUAUUGCAGUGUGGCUCCUUGUGUUUACAGUUCUGCCUAUCCUGAGGUUAAGUUUACUCAGACUGGGAGAUCUUUGGAAUGUAUCUCUGGGAAUUUUUAGCAUACUGCCAUCAUAACCCAUGGCUGAUGUGCUAUAAAAUUUGCUAUACGAGUAAUUUAUACAAUAUUGUUUAUGAAAGUAAAUAUUAAAUGAGCUUUUGGGAUAGAAAAAACAAAUGAGCUCUUGGGGUAAAAUUUUAGCAUUUGAAUGCAGAGACUACAGCAGCCACUUUGCUGGCACAAAAGAGUCACCCUGCUCACUGCUCGUAUCACAUUUAGUUUAAAUCAUGAGCAAAGUACUGAAGUGGGCCCACAAGUGGAAGGAGGAAGCACUAAAUGUUUGUCCUAUACAAUACUGUUGUUUUAAAAGUAUUAGUGAAUGCUAACUCUUAAUUUUAAAAAUAGUGCUGAUUCUUGACAAAGUGUUAUCCUAUGACUAAUAGGGAGAGAGCCUUGCAGGCUCAAUUCAUAUCCAGAUCUAAAGUAAGUACAUGGUGUCAGAAGUUAAGGACCUAAUAGGAUAAACUGAGCCCUUCAUCAUUUCAAGGUAACUGAAAUUUACUUCUUUAUGUGAUUCCUACUAGUAUCCGGAAAAGAAACCUUACUAAUUCUGCAGGAAAACAAGCAUUUCCACAACCCUUACUCCUUAAGUUUGUUGGGAAGCUUGAGCUGUUCAACAGGGCCCCUUUUCCAUCUAGAAAAAAAAAAAGCAGAGUAUUGGAGAUGCUCUUUGUUUGAGUUGUAGACUUCUCAUGUACACUGGGCAACAAAAUGCUCUUAAAUACUGUCUACCAUCUUCUGUGCAAAUAAUAGGCCUAUCUAAAACAGUCUAUUUGUUAAGCUAGAGGGAAACUGUAUGCAGAAAAGUUAGACUUUAGACAGCAUAUUGUACUAUGCACUCUAUGCAUAUCUAUGACGUUAUAUAAGAGAUAAGUGAAAUAAUGUGUAAACAGCUACUGUAUUGCGAGAUAAUUAAUUACUUAUUUGUCUUUUUAACCAAUUAGGCACGUAUUUAAUAUUAUAAUGAUUACUAGAAGCAAGGAAUAUACACAUUCAUGAAGCACUACUGUUUUCUAAUUGAGUUAUAAUAAGAUACAAAUUACUGUGAUUCGUUUUUGCUAUAAGACUAAAUGUGAGUUGUCAAAAUAAAGUUUGCUUGCUUUAAGUGAUGUUUGCAUUUAUGAGGUUUGUAUUUGAAAACUGGUAAGCGAAUGGUCCCUCUAUUUCCGUGUAUUUAUCAAGUUGCUAGAACCAACAAAUAGAUUCUCGGGUCUAUAUAAUACUAUAUAUCAGCACAAACAUAUGAUGAUAUAACACAUAUUUAAUAUUUCAUGUUAGAGUUAUUAUCACGAUGGUGAAAUAUGUAAAUUACUUUAGCAUGCCUUAAAAGCUAAAGAGGUAAAAUUUGCAUUGAAAUCUCUAUGCAAAUGCCCUUAAUAAGUUCUGCUUGGACUUUGGUACCCUCAGAGAGUUUUACUGGAGAGGUUCUAACACAACUUUCUUCAACUCUAAUCAGGAUGGAGGGAAAAGUAAAAAUAUAAAUAGAGAGAGAGAGAGAGAGAAAGAGGUAAGCUGCAGGAAGAACUAUGAGAUAAAUGACUAGGUUACCUAUAAGCAGAAACUGCAACAGUGAUGCCCAAAGUAGCUUGUUUUAGGUUAUCCUUUGACACCUUCUAUCAUUUUUAAAGUCCAAGAGACAAUGUGUGCAUGCUGAAUGUUUCCUGCAGUCUCUGAGAGCUUUAUGCACUUCUUCUUUGCACUUCUGCUCCAGGUAUCAGACAGACCAAUCAGAGGUGAAGCAUUACUGGACCUAAUGCUCACCAGUGUGGAGGAGAUCAUGACAGAAGUUAAGAUCAGAGGCAGUUUGGGCUGCAGUGACCAUGCCCUAGCUGAGUUCAUGAUAUCAAGGAAAAUGGGCCUGACAAAGAGCAGAGGCAGGACCCUUAACUUCAGGAGAGCAAACUUCAGGUUGUUUAGAAAAUUGUUUGAUGAGAUCCACUCAGAAAUGAUCCUUAGGGACACAGGAACAGGACAGAGCUAGCAAUUCUUUAAGAAUACUUUUCUGAGACCAUAAGAGCUCUCCAUCCAAACAAUAAGAAAUCAAGCAGAGGAGGCAAGAAACUAGCA
ensembl:lncRNA